AAUUUUUAGUAGAUCUUUCAAGUCUUUAGAAUUUCUUUUGAAUAAAAAUAAUAAAAUAAUCCUGGAACAGAAGAGAAAGCCCAACAGAAGUUAAAAAACUAGAACAAAAUAAGGCCCAACAGAUAGAGGCCUUCGAAACAGAAAAAUGAAAAACAAAACAAAAGGAAAUUUAAACCCUAUCUAGUCAAAGAAAAGAAGUGACACUCAUUCCACUUUCUAAAAAACUCUUUUUUCCUAUCGGUUGUAGUUCCCUAAAGCACUCCUCCAUUAUGCCUAGAUUCCCCCAUCUAGCAUCUCCUUCAGUGAUUUGAAGGUCUCCGAAGACUCUCAGUCAGGCUCUCGUUCUCUUUGCCUUCCAGAACCCAAUGUUUCUAUGGCAUAAGAAGGCAUAGAUCCUUGAAGUAAACCUCUUCUUCUCUCUUGAGACUUUCUGUUGCGAUUACAUAGGUUAUCUGGUUCGCUAGUCUUAAAAUAUGCUUGAAUCGGAUGCUUUGAAAACGUCUUUGUACUUCUAACUGUCUCUUAUGUAAGCUCCUAUCUCUAAUUUAUCUACCAUGUUGGUCUGACAUUUAUUUAUUACUGUUAAUGCAUCGCCUUCAAUUUCGACUAAAUCCACUCCUAUGCUUAUCCCAAAUCUUACUGUUUAAGAACAUGCACAAGCCUAUUAGUGAACGAAAAACCAACCUUCCUCUCAAGUGACGAUUUUGAGACUAAGACCUUCCCGCUAUCAUCUCUAGCAAUCAAUCUUGAGGUCGAUCUAAACUGUUGAGAAUUAUAAGUCACAUCAAAUUUUAUUCGAAUAGUCUGGUUUUCUAAGAGCCACCAUUCAGAAACAGUACAUCGUUUGUGAAAGAAUAUUAAGAAAAUAACAGAGAAAUCUAAAAAAGAAGAGAAGGAGAAAUGCUCACGGUAAUGAUCUAUCUUACUUAUCUUUAAUUGGUUCACAUACAUGCUUAUAUAAGCAGAGGAAGCCUCAACUGCUAUUAAUAAUAUACCAACCUUAUCAACAAUAUACCAGCCUUUUGUAACUGCCUAACCACUUAGCUAAUUACACAUUAAACACAUGUGCAUAUAGAUACUAUAACAUUCAUCCAACGUCCUCAAGUGAGAUGACCUGAAGAAGAUGACAAAAUCGAGUAAACAUUGACACAGACAAUGGCUUAGUGAGAAUAUCUGCCACUUGGUCACAGGGGAACUUCACCAACAAUCAAGUCACCACUCGCCACCUUUUCCCGGACAAAAAACAGAUCAAGUUCAACAUGUUUGAACUUGGAGUGCAUAACCAGAUUAGCGGCAACAGCCACUGCACUAGAACUAUCACACCACACUACCGUAAGAUCAACUGAAUUAAGUUUUUAACUCUAUCAACAGAGAAACAAGCCAAGCAACAUCACUAGUGGUGGCUGCCAAACUACGAUAUUCAGCCUCUGCCGUAGAUCGAGAAACAACUUUUUGUUUCUUAGAACACCAAGAUAUAAGUGUAUGACCAAAGUACACACAGUAUCCCGUAGUAGCCGACGAUCAUCAAAAUCAAGUCCCCAAUUUGCAUCGGCAUAACCAAUCAAAGAUAGCCGCUCAGAUCGUUGAAAAAGCAACCCAUGAGAAAGAGUACCACAUAAGUAUCGAAGAAUACGUUUCAAUGCCGCCAUGUGGAGAUUAGUGGGAGCAUGCAUAAAUUGACACACCCUAUUAAUAUCAUAUGCAAUAUCAGGUCGAGUUGGAAUGAUAUACUGAAGAGCACCGGCAAGACUACAAUAUUCAGUUGGGUCAGCCAGACAGUCACCCUCAUCCUUUGAUAACACAGAAAAGGUUAUCAUUGGUGUAUUAACACUUUUGGAGUUUGACAUAGAACUUCGUUCAAGAAACUCUCGAAUGUAUUUGCGCUAACACAAGUGAAGAUUACCGGAGGAAGAUCUAUUGACUUCAAUCCCUCAAAAAUAAUGGAGAUCACCCAUAUCCUUUAAAGCAAACUUGUUAUGUAGCUGGUGAACAAAACAAUUUAUCUCGUCAGACGAAUUGCCAAUGAUAACAAUAUCAUCCAUAUAGACAAGCACAUACAGAGUGUGGUUAGAAGAAUAUCGAACAAACAAUGAAGCAUCUAAUUUUGAGAACAUAAACCUAGUAGAAACAAGAAAUUAUUUUAACUUGUCGAACCAAGCAAGAGGGGCUUCCCGUAGGCCAUAUAAAGCUUUAGUCAGAUGACACACUAGCUUUUCACCAUUCGAACCAUGUUGCACAAAACCUGGAGGUUGCUGCAUAAACACGUCAUCAGUUAGAUCGUCAUUCAGAAAGGAAUUAUUUACAUUAACUUGCCGAAGUGGCCAACCCUUGGUCACAGCAAUAGAGAGAAUGACACGAAUGGUAGCAGGCUUGAUUAUCGGACUGAACGUCUCCUUAAAGUCACAGCCAGGCCCUAAGAACAUCCCUUGGCCACCAACCGUGCUUUUUGAUGGUUAAUCGUCCCAUCAUGAUUCUUCUUUAUCUUAAACAACCACUUGCACCAAAUCGCCUUUUGACCAGGAGAGAGAGAGCAGACCCCCAUGUAGAGUUAGCGAUUAAAGCAUCAAAUUCAGCUUGAACAACUACACGCUAGUCUGGAUGAGCAAGAGCCUCCUCAACAAAAUGUGGCUCAACCUCAACACUAUCUGCACACAAAGCUUUAGGUUUAAAUAUACCAGCUUUGGACCGAGUAACCAUAGCAUGCGUAUUGGUGGUAGAGACAGUAGGAACAGGAACAUGCUCAAGAGAAGUGGCAGCAGUAGAAAAAUCCUCCUCUCUGACAACAGUCCUGGAGUUCAGUUGAGGAGCACUACACAUAGCAGAAGAAUCAUGCGGCUCAAUUCCAACAUUAGGACUUGCUAGAGAUACCCCAGUCGCAGGCUCAGGAUGCAGACGAGUUUCCCCAAUGGUACAAGAUCGAAUAACAGGAACAUACGUAGUAGUACCCAGAGACAUUGGAUCAUCAGUAGGCAAAGGGAACAGAAACAAAAAUCGAUUUUCAUCAAAAACAACAUGCCUAGAUACAAUUAUCUUACCAUCUGGCGUUAAACAAAAAUAACCUUUAUGAUGUGCGCUAUGCCCAAGAAACGUAGAUGGCUGUGACCGGUACUCAAGCUUGUGUUUAACAAACGGACAUAAAUAUGGAAAACAACAACAUCCAAAUACUCUGAGAUGUUCAUAAGAUGGUUCACGAUCAAACAAAACUUGAUACGGGGAUUGUCAAGAAUCACCAAACGACUGAUACCAUGUAAGAAUAUUAAGAAAAUAACAGAGAAAUCUAAAGAAGAAGAGAAUGAGAAAUGCUCACGGUAAUGAUCUAUCUUACUUAUCUUUAAUUGGUUCACAUACAUGCUUAUAUAAGCAGAGGAAGCCUCAACUGCUAUUAAUAAUAUACCAGCAUUAUCAACAAUAUACCAGCCUUUUGUAACUGCCUAACCGCUUAGCUAAUUACACAUUAAACACAUGUGCAUAUAGAUACUAUAACAGUUUGGUAGGAUUUUUAUCCCCUAUUGCAUCACUUUCCUGAAUAUAUCGAAAAAUUAUUUAUGAUAUUCCCCUUCUAGAACUGUUUUUACCCUCAUGAAUAUUUUUUCUCUUUUUAGUCCAAAUAACCUGAAGCGCGUAGUAGAAGAUAUGACAUUGGUGACCUGUUCCUCUUCUAAACACCCAGGUAAGCCAUUCCCAAUCUCCCAAAUUAGGCAUAGAUAAUACCUACACUAGAUUUAAAAGAUUCCAAACUUACAAGAAAUUCUCUAUAUACAUGUGUUGUGGUCUCCACUCCACCGCCACAUCUUGGACAUAUUGAAAUCGAUCUGAGCCUUUUGUAAUGUAGAUUUGCUAGAGUAGGUAAAAAUUUACAUGAAACUUUUCAUACUGUAAUUUUUUAUUUAGCUGUAAGACUGAGGUUCUAUAAUUUUCUGUAAAAAUGUUUCAUAUCAUUAUGUAAAUCAGUAGUAUUAGGAUCAUAAGUACUAUCAAGCAAAAAUUUGAACCUACUUUGAACCAAAAAAUCACCAGAAGACUCCCCCUCCAAACCAGCAUAUCUUCAUGUUCCAACGUGGCCAAGGGAAUUCGCAGGAUUCUACCAACAUCAAUGUGACAGCCCAGUUUAGACCCUAGUGAAAUAGUGGUUUUAGGACCAAAAAUUUGAGUCAAAAAAUAUUUUAAUAUUAUUUGUGGUGUCUAUAACAUGCUAAUUUAUAUGUGUGAAUUGUUUGUGAUUUAAUUUUAUCGUUUGAGUGUCCGAUUUAAUAAAAGGACUCAAUCGCGUAAAAUGUAAAGUGGCUAGCUAUUUAUUAAAGUGCUACAUUGCUAUUGUUUUUAUAAUGUGGAGUCCUUAAGAUGUAAUUUGACCUUUGGAAGCAUGCAUGGACAAAACUGGACAACCAUUAUUAAGUUAGUAUAUUAUUUCAUUAAGGUUAGCUUUGUAAAUUAAUUAAAUAUGAUAAUAUAAUAAAACAUAACAUGAAUAAAAAAUGGCAUUGUUCAUCUUUUCCCAUAGCUGAAACUUGAAAGAAAAAGAAAAGAAAAAGAUUUUUAGGUUUCGGCCAUGUCCAAGCUCAAUUAAGGUAUGUGUUUAGCUCAGUUUUUGAUAAUUUUUACGUUUUUGAGAUCGUUGCUUCGAAUACUAGCUAGCCCAUGCUUGAAUUUUUUAAUUUGAUGAUGUAUUGAUGAAUUUCCAUUGAUGAUAGCUUGUGAUUUUUUUGUUUGAUGAUGGAAAAUAAAAAUAUGUUAUUGGAUUAUUAUGUUUAAUUAAGUGAUUUUUGGUAAAAAUAUGUACUAAGGAUUAAUUGUGAAUUUUGUAAAUUGAGGGGUCAAAAUGUGAAAUAAAUGAAAGAUUUGGGCUCAUAUGAACUCCAUGAAAAUUCAGUUAAGCAUGAAAAAUGUGAAAUUAUGUGUAUUUUGUGAUUUUGUGAAUUAUGGACUUAAAUGUCAAAAUGUAAAAAUAUGAGGGCUAAUUUGUAAAAUGCCCUAAAUAUGUGUUUAUGGAUUAAUUUGAAUGAAUGUGAGAUUGACUAAGUCAAAAUUUAAUGUGAUUAGAUCAAGAACCGAAGAAAAUGAGAUUAGAUUGGGGGAAAUUGAAAUCAUUGAAUAGCCGUUUAUUUUUGUCCGAAUCCUUACGAGGUAAGUUCAUAAGUAAAUAAAUGUCAUUAAAUUAAAUUGUAUAUAUAUUAUUUGUGCCGAAUUGAAUUAUUACUUGUAUAUAUAUAUUCAAGCUGAAUUUGUAUAAGCAUGGGAGAAAUAUAUAUACGAGAUGGAAUUGUUUGGUUUACGACAUCCGAAAGCCCCGUACGAACCUUAGGAAUAGUUAGGAUACAUAUGUCAUGACAUAGGAUUCUGAUAUGUGAUUUCGUGUAAGGCCACGUCUGGGACGUUGGAAUCGAUAUGUGAUUUACGUUUAAGACCCUGUCUGGGACAAUGGCAUCGAUAUGUGAUUACAUGUAAGACCACGUCUAGGAUGUUGGCGUUGUAGGAGCUUUUUGUCUAUCCGAGUAUCCUUAUUAAUUCUGAAUGGUUCCACGGGUAAUAUCGAGUAAUGAUCGAAUGUGAAAUCGAGCUAAGAGGUCAGGUAUGUGCUAAGUUAAAUGAUUGGGAAAAUAAGGUAAGUGUGUACUUGUGAUAUAUAUAUAUGAAAUAUGCAUUAUAAAUGUGAGAAUUAUAUAUGCUUAUGAGUACAUGUACAUUUGGCCAUUGAUAUUAAAAUGUUAAUGUUUAUGAAAUAUGUUUGAGUUUGCAAGCAUGAUACAUGUACAUUUGGUUAAGGUUUGUUUGGUUCGGUCUAGUUUAAUUGAAUUAUAUAUGUCAUUAAAAUGAAUUAUUUGCUUAUGACUAACUAAGCUAUUUAAGCUUACUGUGUGAGUGUUUGUUCAUUGUUUUAUAGAUUUUUGAAAGCUGGUUACGAGCUCGAGGAUCAUCAAGGAAAUUUAUCACACUAUCGAUCGUUAUUUCGG
rnacentral:lncRNA from 1 species